CGAGGCCCAGAGACAGCUCUUGCCAGUGUGGAGGGAAGAUCUGUGAGGAGUUCUGGGAGGAGGCAAGAGCUUCAGAGACCUGAUUCUUUCAUGAAAUCCCUCAAGACACCCACCUAUUUGAGGAAUACAUGCCUGAGCUAGGAUCCACAUCUCUGUGACGGAGGACAGGAAUGGAGAAAAAUGGGAAUGACGAUAUAACAGCAACAGCCAUCACCACCGCAGCAGCAGCAAUAACAACAAUGUAAACCUCCGACUCCUCUGUGGGUCAGGCAGAUCUGAUAGGUUCCACCACUGACUUCUGGAGGGAGCUCUCACCUCACCCUGGGAGGACUUAUACGUAAACGUCACCAGUGCUUCAAGAUUUCACACAUUCACCACCAAGUCACCUGAGUGUCUCCCAUAGGCUAUCUCGACUGUUCUCAGUGUGACCCGGA